UGGAGACUUGUUAGGAGAACUCAACGAGUUCUUCUCACGUCUAGGUAAGUCAUUAGCUGGCAUUUUGGAGGAAGUGUUCAAUGUGCCCAUUUCAGAGGAAGUGUUCAGUGUGUCACGAAAACGGCACAGGAUACAAAGUGUUAUAAUAUAAAUUGUUAAAUUUUUUUUACGUAUUCAACACUUAGUGUACUUGACAUAUUCUCAUGACACUGAAAAUUUUCUCGACAAUUUGAUGUUGUCUUGGUUUUUGUCUUUGAGCUCGGAGAUUAGUUAUUACUAUAAAUGGUAAAUCCUAUUUUAUCUGUAUUGUCGUACUUUUAGGCAUAUCGAAAACUGCGACAGAAUGAGACCUAUAAUCCAAAUGGUUACUGAGCCUAGCAUGGCGAUUUCCAGGUGCAAGUUACGCUCAAUAGGUGAAACGAUGUUUCAUGAUCUAAUGUUACAAUUGUUGGGCUUCUCAUAAAAUAUUGUCCCAGUAGCCGUGUUUUUCUUGCAGUGUUUGAUAUGUCUUUGUUAGGAAAAUAGACUAUAUGAAACAUGAUUAUCAUUACAUUUACACAAAACAGUAACAUUAUCCAUCAAGGUUGCACUAGGUGUUAGUCAGACGGAGGCUAAGAAAAAUUACAACAAAAACAGUAACAUUAUCCAUCAAGGUUGCACUAUUUAUACAAAAUUGCAAUUGUAUAUGAAUAUAUACAUGAUCCUCAAAACAGCAAAUAAUGACUUCAUCUCUCAAUUAUUUACACAAAAUUGCAAUUGCAUAUGAAUAUAUAUAUAUAUAUAUAUAUAUAUAUAUAUAUAUGCACAUAUAUAUGUGUGCGUGUGUGUUUGUGUGUAUAUAUAUAUCAAUGCAUAAUACAUAACAUUACUA
rnacentral:lncRNA from 1 species